rnacentral:rRNA from 1 species
UACGAGGGAGGCAUGUCGUGCGGAAUCACUGGGCGUAAAGCGCACGUAGGCGGCUUUCUAAGUCAGGGGUGAAAUCCUGGAGCUCAACUCCAGAACUGCCUUUGAUACUGGGAAGCUUGAGUCCGGAAGAGGUGAGUGGAACUGCGAGUGUAGAGGUGAAAUUCGUAGAUAUUCGCAAGAACACCAGUGGCGAAGGCGGCUCACUGGUCCGGUACUGACGCUGAGGUGCGAAAGCGUGGGGAGCAAACAGG